GUUUGAUCCUGGCUCAGAACGAACGCUGGCGGCAGGCUUAACACAUGCAAGUCGAACGAUAUAGUGGCAGACGGGUGAGUAACGCGUGGAAACGUGCCUUUCACUACGGAAUAGCUUUUGGAAACGAAAGGUAAUACCGUAUACGCCCUCCGGGGGAAAGAUUUAUCGGUGAAAGAUCGGUCCGCGUUAGAUUAGCUAGUUGGUGAGGUAACGGCUCACCAAGGCUACGAUCUAUAGCUGGUCUGAGAGGAUGAUCAGCCACACUGGGACUGAGACACGGCCCAGACUCCUACGGGAGGCAGCAGUGGGGAAUAUUGCACAAUGGGCGCAAGCCUGAUGCAGCCAUGCCGCGUGAAUGAUGAAGGCCUUAGGGUUGUAAAAUUCUUUCGCCAAGGAUGAUAAUGACAGUACUUGGUAAAGAAGCCCCGGCUAACUUCGUGCCAG
rnacentral:rRNA from 1 species